UUGUUAGCAUAUGCCACAUAUGCGUAUAAUACUAUUUCAAACAAGAAAAGUGCAUUUAACAUAUACUUGUUUGUUUAAAUAUAACUUUAAAUUCAAAACUGAUUGUAAAAAAACCGAAGGAAUUUUUUAAAAUGAAUAUGAAAUACAUUAUCUUACUUUCUUGUAUUAUAAUGUUGAUUAAAUUUCCUAUGAAUAAUUCAGCUGCAAAAUUGUCCGAAAUUAUGUCACGUAUACGUAGAGAAGAACCGUAUGAUAGUUCUAGUGAAUCUGAUAAAUCUGAUAGUCUCCUAGAUUCCCAUGAAAGUGUAACAAAUAUGGAUAACUAUAAAAAUUUAACAAAUAUGGAAUUCUCAUGAAUCUACUUUAUAUAAUAUUAAGUGUAACUGGGAAAAUAUGUAAUCAAAAUCACAGCAAAAUUAAUUGAAAAGCAAA